GAGAGACCCCAGUUGAUACCCGCGGCGUAAAGGGUGGUUAAGGGCCAUUACAACUAAAGCUAAACACUUCCCCGGCUGUUGUACGCAAACUGGAAGCCUGAAACCCUAGCACGAAAGUAGCUUUAUUUUCCCCGACCCCACGAAAGCUGAGAAACAAACUAGGAUUAGAUACCCCAC
rnacentral:rRNA from 1 species